UGCAGUCGACGAUGAACCGGUUUCGGCCGGGGAUUAGUGGCGAACGGGUGAGUAACACGUGGGCAAUCUGCCCUGCACUCUGGGACAAGCCCUGGAAACGGGGUCUAAUACCGGAUAUGACUGCCGACCGCAUGGUCUGGUGGUGGAAAGCUCCGGCGGUGCAGGAUGAGCCCGCGGCCUAUCAGCUUGUUGGUGGGGUGAUGGCCUACCAAGGCGACGACGGGUAGCCGGCCUGAGAGGGCGACCGGCCACACUGGGACUGAGACACGGCCCAGACUCCUACGGGAGGCAGCAGUGGGGAAUAUUGCACAAUGGGCGCAAGCCUGAUGCAGCGACGCCGCGUGAGGGAUGACGGCCUUCGGGUUGUAAACCUCUUUCAGCAGGGAAGAAGCGCAAGUGACGGUACCUGCAGAAGAAGCGCCGGCUAACUACGUGCCAGCAGCCGCGGUAAUACGUAGGGCGCAAGCGUUGUCCGGAAUUAUUGGGCGUAAAGAGCUCGUAGGCGGCUUGUCGCGUCGGAUGUGAAAGCCCGGGGCUUAACUCCGGGUCUGCAUUCGAUACGGGCAGGCUAGAGUUCGGUAGGGGAGAUCGGAAUUCCUGGUGUAGCGGUGAAAUGCGCAGAUAUCAGGAGGAACACCGGUGGCGAAGGCGGAUCUCUGGGCCGAUACUGACGCUGAGGAGCGAAAGCGUG
rnacentral:rRNA from 1 species